rnacentral:rRNA from 1 species
UGGGGAAUAUUGGACAAUGGGCGAAAGCCUGAUCCAGCCAUGCCGCGUGUGUGAAGAAGGUCUUCGGAUUGUAAAGCACUUUAAGUUGGGAGGAAGGGCAGUAAGUUAAUACCUUGCUGUUUUGACGUUACCGACAGAAUAAGCACCGGCUAACUCUGUGCCAGCAGCCGCGGUAAUACAGAGGGUGCAAGCGUUAAUCGGAAUUACUGGGCGUAAAGCGCGCGUAGGUGGUUUGUUAAGUUGGAUGUGAAAGCCCCGGGCUCAACCUGGGAACUGCAUCCAAAACUGGCGAGCUAGAGUACGGUAGAGGGUGGUGAAAUUUCCUGUGUAGCGGUGAAAUGCGUAGAUAUAGGAAGGAACACCAGUGGCGAAGGCGACCACCUGGACUGAUACUGACACUGAGGUGCGAAAGCGUGGGGAGCAAACAGG